rnacentral:rRNA from 1 species
AUUGAACGCUGGCGGCAGGCCUAACACAUGCAAGUCGAGCGGCAGCGGGAAAGUAGCUUGCUACUUUUGCCGGCGAGCGGCGGACGGGUGAGUAAUGCCUGGGGAUCUGCCCAGUCGAGGGGGAUAACUACUGGAAACGGUAGCUAAUACCGUAUACGCCCUACGGGGGAAAGCAGGGGACCUUCGGGCCUUGCGCGAUUGGAUGAACCCAGGUGGGAUUAGCUAGUUGGUGAGGUAAUGGCUCACCAAGGCGACGAUCCCUAGCUGGUCUGAGAGGAUGAUCAGCCACACUGGAACUGAGACACGGUCCAGACUCCUACGGGAGGCAGCAGUGGGGAAUAUUGCACAAUGGGGGAAACCCUGAUGCAGCCAUGCCGCGUGUGUGAAGAAGGCCUUCGGGUUGUAAAGCACUUUCAGCGAGGAGGAAAGGUUGGUAGCUAAUAACUGCCAGCUGUGACGUUACUCGCAGAGGAAGCACCGGCUAACUCCGUGCCAGCAGCCGCCGUAA